rnacentral:rRNA from 1 species
CGGUGGCAGCACGGGGAGCUUGCUCCCUGGUGGCGAGCGGCGGACGGGUGAGUAAUGCAUAGGAAUCUGCCCGGUAGUGGGGGAUAACCUGGGGAAACCCAGGCUAAUACCGCAUACGUCCUACGGGAGAAAGCAGGGGCUCUUCGGACCUUGCGCUAUCGGAUGAGCCUAUGUCGGAUUAGCUGGUUGGUGAGGUAAUGGCUCACCAAGGCGACGAUCCGUAGCUGGUCUGAGAGGAUGAUCAGCCACACUGGGACUGAGACACGGCCCAGACUCCUACGGGAGGCAGCAGUGGGGAAUAUUGGACAAUGGGCGCAAGCCUGAUCCAGCCAUGCCGCGUGUGUGAAGAAGGCCCUCGGGUUGUAAAGCACUUUCAGCGAGGAAGAAGGCUUGGCGGCUAAUAUCCGUCAAGAAGGACAUCACUCGCAGAAGAAGCACCGGCUAACUCCGUGCCAGCAGCCGCGGUAAUACGGAGGGUGCGAGCGUUAAUCGGAAUUACUGGGCGUAAAGCGCGCGUAGGUGGUUUGGCACGCCGGUUGUGAAAGCCCCGGGCUCAACCUGGGAACGGCAUCCGGAACGGCCAGACUAGAGUGCAGGAGAGGAAGGUAGAAUUCCCGGUGUAGCGGUGAAAUGCGUAGAGAUCGGGAGGAAUACCAGUGGCGAAGGCGGCCUUCUGGCCUGACACUGACACUGAGGUGCGAAAGCGUGGGUAGCAAACAGGAUUAGAUACCCUGGUAGUCCACGCCGUAAACGAUGUCGACUAGCCGUUGGGACCUUUAGGGACUUAGUGGCGCAUUUAACGCGAUAAGUCGACCGCCUGGGGAGUACGCCCCCAGGGUUAAAACUCAGAUGAUUUGACGGGGGCCCGCACAAACGGUGGAGCAUGUGGUUUAAUUCGAUGCGACGCGAAAAACCUUACCUACCCUUGACAUCCAGAGAGGUGGCAGAGAUAACUUGCUGCCUUCCCCAACGGAAAUACAGGUGCUG